GGCAACACCUGGUUAAGGCGAUGGACUGCUAAUCCAUUGUGCUUUGCACGCGUGGGUUCGAAUCCCAUUCUCGUCG
rnacentral:tRNA from 1 species